UACGUAGGGGGCAAGCGUUGUCCGGAUUUAUUGGGCGUAAAGAGCGUGUAGGCGGUCUGGUAGGUCCGUUGUGAAAACUCGAGGCUCAACCUCGAGACGCCGAUGGAAACCAUCUGGCUAGAGUCCGGAAGAGGAGAGUGGAAUUCCUGGUGUAGCGGUGAAAUGCGCAGAUAUCAGGAAGAACACCAAUGGCGAAAGCAGCUUUCUGGGACGGUACUGACGCUGAGACGCGAAAGCGUGGGGAGCGAACAGG
rnacentral:rRNA from 1 species